CCUUUCUAGUCUGCCAUUUUCAACUUUCAGAGUCUAUUGACUGUAAUCUUGCUGCUUAUAUGUACUUGUGCUUAUAUUCGAUCCUUGGCACCCAGCCUCCUGGACAGAAAUAAAACUGGAUUGUUGGGUAUAUUUUGGAAAUGUGCCAGAAUUGGUGAACGGAAGAGUCCUUAUGUAGCAGUAUGCUGUAUAGUAAUGGCCUUCAGCAUCCUCUUCAUACAGUAGCUGGGGAAAAUGCCAGAAUUUAAUUGCCAUCAGAUUUCAUUGUGAACAAGGACUUACUGCAGAAAAUAAUGGAAAGGAUGGUUAACCCUUUUAUCUCUGAACAUUGAAUGAGAUAAAUUUCCAGAUGCUGUUCUCUAUUUUUAUGUUAUUGGACCAAUGUUCUAUAUAAUAAUUAAGAUGUAACCAUUUAAUAGUCUGUAACAAUCAACCUCAGUAUUGUCACUACAAUAUUACAUUCUGCAAAUGUUAUUCUGUUGUAUCAGAUACCAAAUUUUAGUGAGGUAUCUCCAAGGCACAUAGGAGAAAACAAAAUUGGUUAAUUACUCAAGUUCCUUUCACUGUGAUUUGGAAAUGAUUUAAUCUUUAUAGAACAAGACCCUUUUUUGGACUAGCUUUUUUAUUAAAAUGGCUCAAUUUGUGUUGAUAAGGAUUGCAGUCAUGUUUAAUAGCGCUUGCUUUUCCUCUGGGCACACCAUUUUGAUCAUUAACCAGAGUACCUCUACUCUUAGCAAACUCUAGUUUAUGACAAGUAUUUAAAAUAUUUAAAACAAGCUUAUAAGUUCUUAAGGAGCAAGGUAAAUGAGAUGUAACUUAAAAAUAGUAUUGGAAAAAUGUUGAUAUUUAACAUUAGUGGAUUUAGACUAGACAUGGCAUAGUAGGCUCUGAAACCUCUUGUCAAGUAUACAUAAGUGUUUUGUGCAUGAAUUUUUACCAGAAAGCUGUCUUUCUCUGAAAAACACAACAUUCUUAGAAUGAAAAGAACAGUUAUAAAAUAAUUAUC